GAUGAACGCUGACAGAAUGCUUAACACAUGCAAGUCAUUGGCGAAGCUGCGCUUGCGCAGUCUAGCCAAGGCGGACGGGUGAGUAACGCGUAAGGAACUUGCCCUGCAGACAGGGAUAACAGACGGAAACGACUGAUAACACCUGGUAUUGUCAGGCUGGCGCAUGCCGGCCUGAUGAAAGGAGACGCUGCAGGAGGGCCUUGCGUCCUAUUAGCUAGUUGGUGGGGUAACGGCCCACCAAGGCGAUGAUAGGUAGCCGGCCUGAGAGGGUGAACGGCCACAAGGGGACUGAGAUACGGCCCUUACUCCUACGGGAGGCAGCAGUGGGGAAUAUUGGACAAUGGGGGCAACCCUGAUCCAGCAAUUCUGUGUGCACGAAGAAGGUUUUCGGAUUGUAAAGUGCUUUCAGCAGGGAAGAAGAAAGUGACGGUACCUGCAGAAGAAGCGACGGCUAAAUACGUG
rnacentral:rRNA from 1 species